CGAGUAUCUGCGAAAAGGGGUACACUUCGGAAACACUGUCGUUUAAGCUCUUGAGAGUUCGUUUGAAUCGUAUAUAAAUUAUGGAACAAGUUAUGGAAAAAGUAGAAAGAUUUCUGUUAAUAAACAAAUCCGAAAUAUAUAAAUUUGAAUACGCAAAAGAAAACGAAAAUAAAACGAUAUAUGUAAUAUAUAUGUAAAUAGAAUAUUCCUAUUGAAAUUAAUAAUUAAUAUUCUCAAUAAUAUUCAAAAUAGAAAUUAGAAUGUCUAUUUUGUUUGUGUCUCUAUUUUAAAAAAUAAGCUAAUAAAUAAUUGGUUGAAUGUAUUACAAAUGGCCUAUUGAUGUUUCUUUUAUUUGUUCAAAUUGAAAAAAAACAGAAAAUUAAACAACUUUUUAAUUUUAAAUAACAAUUUUAAUUUUAAUCUUAAUUUUAAGCAAGAUUUCAUAUCAAAAACAUCUUUUUAAAACUAUUAAUUUUGUACAUCUUAUAUUUUUUAUAAUGAAUAAAAUUAUUUAUAAAAAUAAUCUUUUUUCUAAUUAUGCAUAAAUAAUAAACAUAAAAAUAUAAAAA